CAGGCGACACCAGGCUCCGCAUAACCCGGGAGUGGCUCAGUCCAUGUUUACGCGUCCUAUGGGUCCCCUCCUCCUCCUAUCCGGGAUCCCACGGCCGGGCUCAGCUGGCCUCCGGCUCCGCUGCGGACACGGGGAACCUGCGGAACUCCCGCGCCGCCGCUCAACAGCCACUCGCCCGGCGCCGUCGAACUUCCGCCGCCCAGUCCGCCGCAGCCGGCCUGCGGCCCGGACCCGGGAACAAAGAGGGCCGGGCAGCCAAUGGCAGCCGUGCAGCUCCGGGCCGCCGCCAAUCACCGAGCGCCGCACGCACCUUCGCGGCCCGAGCGCGGCGCUGGCAACACUCCAGAUUCAUUCUCUUAGAAGAGUUUUUCCAUGUCAUGGGGAACAUAGCUACAGAGAGUUCCAGGUCACAUCUUCCAUAACCAGACAAAAGAGGCCUCGUCUUUACAAAUUGAGUUUUGAAAAACCCUGGGAAUGAUCUGUGAUCAACUGAGUUUUCUCUUCUCAUUAAACUAAAGAGUCAUGAGGUAUCAUUAUCCGCUGCUGCCCUUUAUAAUCUUAAGGCAAAUACUGGUACAAAAUACUCAUUUUCUACUCUAGAAACAUUUUUUUGAUUGAAAAAAACUCCAUACUAUUCCACCAAAUUACAGUAAGAUUUAUUUUAAGCAGAAAUCCAAAGCGG
rnacentral:lncRNA from 1 species